UACGAAGGGGGCUAGCGUUGUUCGGAAUGACUGGGCGUAAAGCGCGCGUAGGCGGCUUUGUAAGUUAGAGGUGAAAGCCCGGAGCUCAACUCCGGAAUUGCCUUUAAGACUGCAUCGCUAGAAUCAUGGAGAGGUGAGUGGAAUUCCGAGUGUAGAGGUGAAAUUCGUAGAUAUUCGGAAGAACACCGGUGGCGAAGGCGGCUCUCUGGGCCACUACUGACGCUGAGAAGCGAAAGCGUGGGGAGCGAACAGG
rnacentral:rRNA from 1 species